rnacentral:rRNA from 1 species
AGAGCUAAUACAUGCAAACAGAGUUCCGACCAGAAAUGGAAGGAACGCUUUUAUUAGAUCAAAACCAAUCGACGUCAGUUGGCUUGCCAACUGCGCCGUACUCCUUGGUGACUCUGAAUAACUUUUGGCAGAUCGCACGGUCUUAGUACCGGCGACGCAUCCUUCAAAUGUCUGCCUUAUCAACUGUCGAUGGUAGGUUCUGCGCCUACCAUGGUUGUAACGGGUAACGGGGAAUCAGGGUUCGAUUCCGGAGAGGGAGCCUGAGAAACGGCUACCACAUCCAAGGAAGGCAGCAGGCGCGCAAAUUACCCACUCCCGGCACGGGGAGGUAGUGACGAAAAAUAACGAUACGGGACUCAUCCGAGGCCCCGUAAUCGGAAUGAGUAUACUCUAAAUACUUGUACAAGUAUCAAUUGGAGGGCAAGUCUGGUGCCAGCAGCCGCGGUAAUUCCAGCUCCAAUAGCGUAUAUUAAAGUUGUUGCGGUUAAAAAGCUCGUAGUUGGAUCUGUGUCCUUCGACGCCGGUUCACCGCCUGUCGGUGCCAACUGGCGUUUUGCGGGACGUCCUGUCGGUGGCGCGCCAAGGAUCUUAGUUGUGUUUUAGGUUUAUACCUGAAGCCGGCUCUGGUUCUGGGCCGCUUUCAUAAUCCCGCCGCGGUGCUCUUCACCGAGUGUCGAGGCGGGCCGGCACGUUUACUUUGAACAAAUUAGAGUGCUUCAAGCAGGCUCAUUAUGCCUAUAUACUGUGUGCAUGGAAUAAUGGAAUAGGACCUCGGUUCUAUUUUGUUGGUUUCCGGAAUCUGAGGUAAUGAUCAAUGGGGACGGGCGGGGGCAUUCGUAUUGCGACGUUAGAGGUGAAAUUCUUGGAUCGUCGCAAGACGGACCGAAGCGAAAGCAUUUGCCAAGUACGUUCCCGUCGAUCAAGAACGAAAGUUAGAGGUUCGAAGGCGAUCAGAUACCGCCCUAGUUCUAACCAUAAACAAUGCCUGCCAGCGAUCCGCCGGUGUCUUUUCUGAUGACCCGGCGGGCAGCUUCCGGGAAACCAGAGCUUUUGGGUUCCGGGGGAAGUAUGGUUGCAAAGCUGAAACUUAAAGGAAUUGACGGAAGGGCACCACCAGGAGUGGAGCCUGCGGCUUAAUUUGACUCAACACGGGAAAACUCACCAGGCCCGGACACCGGAAGGAUUGACAGAUUGAUAGCUCUUUCUUGAUUCGGUGGGUGGUGGUGCAUGGCCGUUCUUAGUUGGUGGAGCGAUUUGUCUGGUUAAUUCCGAUAACGAACGAGACUCUAGCCUACUAACUAGACGUAUCUGGUAUCAGCAUUCGUGCUACCAGCGAUCAUAUCUCUUCUUAGAGGGACAGGCGGCUUCUAGCCGCACGAGACUGAGCAAUAACAGGUCUGUGAUGCCCUUAGAUGUCCUGGGCCGCACGCGCGCUACACUGAAGGAAUCAGCGUGUCUUCCCUGUCCGAAAGGACCGGGUAACCCGCUGAACCUCCUUCGUGCUUGGGAUUGGGGCUUGCAAUUGUUCCCCAUGAACGAGGAAUUCCCAGUAAGCGCGAGUCAUAAGCUCGCGUUGAUUACGUCCCUGCCCUUUGUACACACCGCCCGUCGCUACUACCGAUUGAAUGAUUUAGUGAGGUCUUCGGACCGGUGCGCGGAGGCGGUUUACCGCUCCCGAUGUUGUCGGAAAGAUGACCAAACUUGAUCAUUU